GGAUGUGAAGGCAAUCUGGCUGCAACAUCUGUCACCCCAUUGAUCAUCAGGGUUGAUUUGGCUGAUCUGGCUGGCUAGGUUGGUGUCCCCUUCCUCCCUCACAGCUUUGUAUGCAUCCCUCCCAAAGCUGCGUGCUCAGUCAACGAGGAUGACCAUCCCUAGUAGAGCCUCCUCUAUUUGGGACCAAAGACUCCAUACUCCAGUCUUUGGUCAAGGGUAUGCACAUAGCUGCGCUCCCCUGCUAGAACUUCCAAACCAGCUCUCAAAGCACACCAUAAAAAAGUGAAAAAGUAAUCCAUGAAAUGGGAGAAAAAAGUUGCAAAUCAUAUAUCUGAUAAGGGACUUGUAUCU
rnacentral:snRNA from 1 species